rnacentral:sRNA from 1 species
GCCAGGUGUGGUGGCCCACACCUGUAAUUCCAGCUACUGGGGAGGCAGGGGCAGGAGGAUAGAAAAUUCGCAGCCAGCCUGGU